AGUGAACGCUGGCGGUAGGCCUAACACAUGCAAGUCGAACGGCAGCACAGUAGGAGCUUGCUCUUACGGGUGGCGAGUGGCGGACGGGUGAGGAAUACAUCGGAAUCUACUUUUUCGUGGGGGAUAACGUAGGGAAACUUACGCUAAUACCGCAUACGACCUACGGGUGAAAGCAGGGGAUCUUCGGACCUUGCGCGAUUGAAUGAGCCGAUGUCGGAUUAGCUAGUUGGCGGGGUAAAGGCCCACCAAGGCGACGAUCCGUAGCUGGUCUGAGAGGAUGAUCAGCCACACUGGAACUGAGGCACGGUCCAGACUCCUACGGGAGGCAGCAGUGGGGAAUAUUGGACAAUGGGCGCAAGCCUGAUCCAGCCAUACCGCGUGGGUGAAGAAGGCCUUCGGGUUGUAAAGCCCUUUUGUUGGGAAAGAAAAGCAGCAGGUUAAUACCCCGCUGUUCUGACGGUACCCAAAGAAUAAGCACCGGCUAACUUCGUG
rnacentral:rRNA from 1 species